GCAGACUGAACACAGACGUUGUGCAGUAUUCAGAAGCUUGCUUUGUCUGAUGUUUGUCGGGCUAACUUGUUUCACUGUCUCAGCUGGUGUGCGACACACAACCCGACUUUCCUAAAUUUACAGCCCAUGAGACCACUGAGUUGUUCCAACACAUCGGUGUGCCUCGGAGCAUUCAGCACGGGCUGCAGUACCAGGAAGAAGGCUACAGGAACCGUGGGUACACAGACAGAUGCUGCUUUGAAAUCUGUUGGUUUGGUCAGCACCUGUAACAAUACAGUGCAACACAACACUGCUGCAGCUAGCAGCAGUGAGGUCUGUUGAAGUACAGACCGAAAACCCUAUAGAACAUAGUGCUCCUGACAGUGCGGCGUAGAACGUUAUCUCCUGCGCAGGCUGUUCCCUGAGAACUUCCACCAUGCUCAGUCUUCAAUUUUGAACAUCUCACGCACUGAGGAAUGCAACACUGAAGAUGACCAGGUCUGUGCAGACAAGUAGUCUACAUUACCAGUCAACUCCAAUAAGAGUGUGUCUAUAAGUAAAAGUGAGCACACAGCACAGGACACAGGAGAUUGUCUUGAAAUCAGAGGCAAUCCUUUUUUGAUUGAGAGAAGAGCAUGGCAAAGUUACGCCGAACGAGCUUCCCCCAGAAAAUGUCCAAGUCAUUGCUGAUAUUUUUCACCUGGGGAGCUAGACAGAGAUGCGAUGUACUACCCCUCACUGGAUGAGAGUUUCCUU